rnacentral:pre_miRNA from 1 species
ACACUACUCCCUCCGUUCCGAAUUACUUGUCGCAGGUAUGGAUGUAUCUAGAUGUAUUUUAGUUCUAGAUACAUCCAUUUCUGUGACGAGUAAUUUGGAACGGAGGGAGUAUAUU